UACGGAGGAUGCAAGCGUUAUCCGGAAUGAUUGGGCGUAAAGCGUCCGCAGGUGGCAAUGUAAGUCUGCUGUUAAAGCGUCUAGCUCAACUAGAUACAAGCAGUGGAAACUACAUCGCUAGAGUGCGUUCGGGGCAGAGGGAAUUCCUGGUGUAGCGGUGAAAUGCGUAGAGAUCAGGAAGAACACCGGUGGCGAAGGCGCUCUGCUAGGCCGCAACUGACACUGAGGGACGAAAGCUAGGGGAGCGAAUGGG
rnacentral:rRNA from 1 species